rnacentral:snoRNA from 1 species
AGGCAGCCCCCUUUUUUCUACUUCAUGAGAUGGGAGGUGUUAAUCUGCUCGUAAAUUAAAUUCGCUUAUGCUCUUCAGAUUUGCUGAGAUAUAUUAUUAAUAUCUUUGAAGCUGGUCUAGUAAGAAUAAGCACAAU